AGAGGGGUGCAAGCGUUAAUCGGAAUGACUGGGCGUAAAGGGGGCGUGUAGGCGGAAUAAUAAGUAUGUUGUGAAAUACCCGGGCUCAACCUGGGGGAGUCAAUGUAAACUAUUAUUCUUGAGUAUGGUAGAGGUUGGAGGAAUUUCCGGAGGAGCGGUGAAAUGCGUAGAUCUCGGAAGGAACACCAGUGGCGAAGGCGACUGACUGGACCAAUACUGACGCUGAGGCGCGAAAGCGUGGGUAGCAAACAGGAUUAGAUACCCUGGUAGUCCACGCCGUGAACGAUGGGUACUAGACGUUGGCUAGCUUACGAGUUGGUUAGUGUCGCAGUUAACACGAUAAGUACCCCGCCUGGGGAGUACGGCCGCAAGGUUA
rnacentral:rRNA from 1 species